CUGUCUACCACACCUGCUGUCUCGACCUCUGAAUGUUCGGCUAUGAAAAGCCAACUGAUAAUUACUCCGGAGGUGCUGACCUGUUGCACCCUCUAUAACCACAUUAUUUUGUUGACUCUGCUGGUCAUCUAUGAAGAAUGUUUGAACUACAGUACUUGAAGAACGAUCUGGCCUUAAUGGCCAUGUACGCUUAUAAUCUCCACAGCCAGAAGAGGACUAGCCACCCCUCAGAGCCUGGUUCCUCUCUACGUUUCUUCCUAGGUUCCUGUUUUUCUAGAGAGUUUUUCCUAGCCACCGUGCUUCUAAAUCUGCAUUGCAUGCUAUUUGAGGUUUUAAGCUGGGUGUCGGAAUAAGCAUUUUGUGACAUCUGCUGAUGUAAAAAGGGCUUUAUAAAUAAAUUGUACUGAUUGAUUGAUGAUUGAUUGUAUGAAAUGGAGUAGCAUAUAUCCAUCAUGAAAAAUUAACAUUGAGCACUGUCUCCAUGGAGUAUAGCACUGCAGCCUUAGGCAAUGUAUAUUUACGAGGUGCAUAACAUUAUCUCAUAUCACAUGCAUGGCAAGACAUGAUUGAUGUAAUUAGAUGCUCUGGAGAGAUCCCACCCUCCUUCCCCAACACAUGUAGAAUGCUUAGAAACCACCAGAAACCUGUGAAAUAGAUCAACAGAUGAUGUUUUAUCUCCUCUCAAGGUCUGUUGGUUUACAGUAUCUCAGAAUCAGGAACUGUCAUAUCCCAUGUGAUAUGUCAAAACAAGUUGAUGCAUGUAUUAUCAUGGUGCAUUGGGUUUGUAUUUGUAUUUAUUGUGGAUCCCCUUUAGCUGCAGCAGCUACUCUUCAUGGGGUCCAGUAAAAUGAAGGCAGUUAUACAAUUGUAAAAACAUUCACAACAGAUGUCACAAAAUCCAUGUUCCUGUUUGAUUUCGGGGUAGGCUGUCAACAGCACGUACUGUGACACUAUGAUAUGUAUUCUGAUCAAGGCAACAAUACUUCUAGGCAUAUCUGACAUCAUGUAUUUGAUAUCUUUAUGUGAAGGUUAAUGUCCAUAUUGACAUCAGUUCAUUGUGUUUGAGGGCGGUUCACUGACGGGGUUUCGACGGAUACGAUUAGAUUAGACUAGUUUAACAGUUACAGAACAGCUACAGUAGCCUAUCAGAACAGCUGCAGUAUCAGAGGCGCAGAGCCUUAAUUAACGGGCUACACAUAAUGGCUGACGACAGCCAGAGCGUGAAAUGGGAGGAUCCCCCGGAUGACCAAAAUAAGGUUGUGGGGAAUAUGAAGGAUGAAACAGAGACACAUGAGACCAACAAGAACAGGACAGGAGGCAAGGCUAAACGUAAGUCCAGUGGCCGUGCCAAGAAGACUUCCGUGGAGGAGGACAGCAGCAUUGGUGCAGAGUCUUCUCAGACACCCGGGUGUGGUUUCCAGGAAAGGGGAUCUAUCAUUGAGCAGCUGGAGAAGGAGGCUCAGAGGACUCUAAUGCCUUCUCUCAAGAUUGAGACAUGCU